AACAAAAUGAAUUACUACAAGUUAAAAACACCAACAAUAAAAGCCGUUCCUCAAAUUAUCACUACUUAAUACUACAUUAAUGAGGGAUGAAGCUUUGGCAGGAAGAUUAGGUCGACAGUUUAGGAGAAUAGAAAAGUAGAAGUUAUAUGGACUGAUUACUUAUCUGAAAUCCUAAAACUUAUUGAAUUCUAGCCGAUCAGAGCCAACCAUGCAUCUUUAGAUCUUGAGAUUACCUACAAAAAAAUGAUGACAAAUAAGUGAAUAGCUAUUUCCUAAACAAAAAUUAAACGAUAAGGGGUUAACGACUGAAGCAACUAGGGAAGAGAAAGAGUCAAAUUGACUGUAUAUAAAACAUGGUAUUCAAUAACUAAAUUCGUGACCGUAAUCAAGCAUACCCUUCGAAGGAAUUCAAGCUGUUCAUGGAGAUGACAAGCAGAGUAAUGGGUUUCUCAAAUCCGACUCGUUUGAGACCUCGAGUAGUUUAUUUUGCUCAAACUCGCUUCA
rnacentral:lncRNA from 1 species